UUGUCAUCUUUACUUUCAGAUGAAGGAGAGCUUUAGAAAGAUGUGUUUGUUGUCUGUGUGCUUCAUUGCAACAGCCCUGCCACACUAGGAGGAAGACAGGUUUUGGGUCCUGUCUUGGUGAUAAAGAUAAAACUAAAGGACAAUCAAAUCUCAUCAAACUUCUCUCUGAGGAGCUGAUGACGUUUCAGAAACAGUGACAAAGUUCAGAAUCCCAUUCUUCCAUCCUAGAUGGGAAACAUCAACUUUCCUGAUGAUGCUGAAAAAGCAAGAUACUCAUUUUUUCCAGCCACCCUUGCAGAGCCAGAAAGCCCAUGAGAUUCAAUAGAUGUAAGACUGAGAGAGAUUUUCAUUCCUGGAUGAAAGGAGACAGGCCUGGGAGAAGAGUUUUCUCUUGCCAUCUUUGCAGUCUCUCCACUCCUGACGUGUACAGGAUUUCUGUUGGCUGCUGUGGCAAAUGUCACACACUUAGUGACUUCAAAUAACCCAGAUGUAUCAUCUGACAGGGUGGAGAUGG
rnacentral:lncRNA from 10 species